rnacentral:rRNA from 1 species
GACGGAGGGUGCAAGCGUUUGUUGUCGGGAAUUACUGGGCGUAAAGCGUACGUAGGCGGCGGAAUUUAAGUCGAAUCGUUAAAGCCUGGGGCUCAACCCCAGAGAUGCAUUCGAUAACUGGUCUGCUAGAGGGUGAUAGAGGAAAGCGGAAUUCCCAGUGUAGCGGUGAAAUGCGUAGACUAUUGGGAGGAACAUCAGUAGCGAAGGCGGCUUUCUGGGUCACACCUGACGCUGAGGUACGAAAGCGUGGGGAGCAAACGGG